rnacentral:rRNA from 1 species
CGGCGUGCCUAAUACAUGCAAGUCGAGCGAAUGGAUUAAGAGCUUGCUCUUAUGAAGUUAGCGGCGGACGGGUGAGUAACACGUGGGUAACCUGCCCAUAAGACUGGGAUAACUCCGGGAAACCGGGGCUAAUACCGGAUAACAUUUUGAACCGCAUGGUUCGAAAUUGAAAGGCGGCUUCGGCUGUCACUUAUGGAUGGACCCGCGUCGCAUUAGCUAGUUGGUGAGGUAACGGCUCACCAAGGCAACGAUGCGUAGCCGACCUGAGAGGGUGAUCGGCCACACUGGGACUGAGACACGGCCCAGACUCCUACGGGAGGCAGCAGUAGGGAAUCUUCCGCAAUGGACGAAAGUCUGACGGAGCAACGCCGCGUGAGUGAUGAAGGCUUUCGGGUCGUAAAACUCUGUUGUUAGGGAAGAACAUAUGUGCUAGUUGAAUAA